CCGCACGGUGGCGCAGUUGGUAGCACUGUUGCCUUGCAGCAAGAAGGUCCUGAGAAGGUCCUGGGUUCGAUUCCCGGCCGGGGGU